UGGAUAGCACUGAACAUUGGUGUUCUCUCUUUAUCCACAGACCAGGUACAGCACAGGCAGCAGGACAGGCUUCCCUUGCACUUUCUAUCCAUGUCCCUUGACCUUGGAGCUGGAGAGACUACCUUUUUAAAGGCAACAGGUAAGACAGUCUUUGGCCCUGUUGCUGAGAAUUUCCACA
rnacentral:sRNA from 1 species